CCUACGGGUGGCAGCAGUGGGGAAUAUUGCGCAAUGGGCGAAAGCCUGACGCAGCGACGCCGCGUGAGGGAUGAAGGUCUUCGGAUCGUAAACCUCUGUCAGCAGGGAAGAACGGUCACUGUGCUAAUCAGCAGUGAAUUGACGGUACCUGCAAAGGAAGCACCGGCUAACUCCGUGCCAGCAGCCGCGGUAAUACGGAGGGUGCGAGCGUUAAUCGGAAUUACUGGGCGUAAAGCGCUCGUAGGCGGUAUGUCAAGUCUAGGGGGAAAUCCCCGGGCUCAACCUGGGAACUGCCUUUGAAACUGGCAAACUGGAGUGAGUGAGAGGAUAGUGGAAUUCCAGGUGUAGGAGUGAAAUCCGUAGAUAUCUGGAGGAACAUCAGUGGCGAAGGCGACUAUCUGGCACAUAACUGACGCUGAGGAGCGAAAGCGUGGGUAGCAAACAGGAUUAGAUACCCCUGUAGUC
rnacentral:rRNA from 1 species